rnacentral:piRNA from 1 species
UGUCCAGGGAAGAUAGUGUUGAGGGCC